GUGAGUCAUCGAAUCUUUGAACGCACAUUGCGCCCCUUGGCAUUCCGAGGGGCAUGCCUGUUCGAGCGUCAUUACACAACCCUCAAGCAAUGCUUGGUGUUGGGCCGCGCCGGCUCACCCGGCGGGCCCUAAAAGCAGUGGCGGUGCCGUCAGGCUCUGAGCGUAGUCCUUCUUCUCGCUAUAGAGCCCUGGUGGAUGCCUGCCAGCAACCCCCCCUCUCACGGUUGACCUCGGAUCAGGUAGGGAUACCCGCUGAACUUAAGCAUAUCAAUAAGCGGAGGA
rnacentral:misc_RNA from 1 species